GACGAACGCUGGCGGCGUGCUUAACACAUGCAAGUCGAACGAUGAACCGGUUUCGGCCGUGGAUUAGUGGCGAACGGGGGAGUAACACUUAGGCAAUCUUCCCUGCACUCUGGGAUAAGCCCGGGAAACUGGGUCUAAUACCGGAUACGACACUCCGAGCCAUCUUCGGGUGUGGAUAGUUCCGGCCGUGCAAGCUGGGCCCUCGGCCUAUCAGCUUGUUGGUGUGGUAAUGGCCUACGAAAGCGGCGACGGGUCGCCGGCAUGAGAGGGGGACCGGCCACAAUGGGACUGCGACACGGACCAGAAUCCUACGGGAGGCAGUAGUGGGGAAUCUUGCACAAUGGGCGAAAGCCUGAUGCAGAGACGCCGCGUGCGGGAUGACGGCCUUCGGGUUGUAAACAUCUUUCAGCAGGGAAGAAGCGAAAGUGACGGUACCUGAAGAAGAAGCAACGGCUAACUACGUG
rnacentral:rRNA from 1 species